GCCUACGUGGUGUAGUGGUCAGCACACUCGGCGCGUACUCCAGAGGUCCGAGGUUCGAGUCCUUUGCGAGGGCG
rnacentral:tRNA from 1 species